rnacentral:tRNA from 1 species
GCCCGGGUGGCGAAAUCGGUAGACGCAAGGGACUUAAAAUCCCUCGCCGAGAGGCGUGCGGGUUCGAGUCCCGCCCCGGGCACCA